CCUAUCUCAGGAAGCAUUGCAGAUAUGGCUGCUGUGUCAUAUGUGCCUUGAUAGGUGGCAGAGAGGAGGGAGGCUAUAUCUAAAUUUAGUGUUCUGACCUAUGAAGUUCGGAAUGAUUAGUAGCUUACCAUC
ensembl:snoRNA LOC120093988 small nucleolar RNA SNORA17